UUACUAAAUAUAUUAAGCAUGGAAUUGCCUUGAUGAACUCCAGCCAGCCAAUCAAGACAAGCAAAGUGGGAAUCAGGUGGGUGUUCUUAGUACAAUUUUGCUACAGUGAAGCAGGCAGGUGAGCUAGGAAAUUCACUCACAACCAGGUCAGCAAAGUAAAUUCUACAGAAGUAUUCAAGCAUCAGCCUUGUAGCAGGGCACAGAACAAUGAACACGUACAUGUAGGAACAAAUGCAUAUCUUCAGCUAUUAAACCGCAGGUAC
rnacentral:misc_RNA from 1 species